rnacentral:pre_miRNA from 1 species
CUGACUAAGUGGCUGUGAUGUAUCAUUUACUUAUAUCACAGCCUGCUUGGAUCAGUA